GCAGAAGUUAUAUCUGAAGUCUACGCCAGCCUGUAGCUGGCAUAGACUUCAGUUUCUGAUGCACAGCAGGGUAGUGAUGCACUUGAUUUGUUAAGAGGCUUCUGCUUCUUAACAAAUCAGGCUCAUCUCACGCCAGCGCAGGGAUAUUAAGAGGACCUUUCA